UCGAUGCGAGUUUCUCGGGCUGAGGUGUUGGUUGGGUGUGAGUCGUUCUACUGUGUUUGAUAAAAAGAUGGAGAAGGGAGUUGGGUAUGGGAUCUCCCAUUCCCAUGACUGGUGACUGAUGAAAUGCCGACAAGGGAAUGAGUUAUGGAGAUCACGUGUGCCUCCAAUUUCGUGUCAGAUGAGGAAAGGGAUGAGAUGCGAUGCAAUGCCCCCAAGCUCUUAUUGUCAUUCCCCCUGUGGGUCACUCACCCCACAGGCUACUAUAUCAGGGUUCGUGCACAUUCUCGGAUUGCGAUGAAUUGCUUCCCGAUUGAGCCAAUGAAAAGGUUUGGAUAGCUUGAGUUCACAAUGAUGGAGCACAGCCGGUUUUGGGAUGUUUCCCAAUUAUUACUAGUUGUUCCUUUCAAGUGAUCACCUACCUACAUGAAUCUGGCAACUUCUCUUAACUAUUUCAAGUGUUCGCAUUAACAUUCAGACUUGUACUACAAUCCCGCUUUUCUCGGGCCCGCGCCACAAGCACAUACUCUUAAUGUUAUGUGAUGUCCACAAUUUCCUCUUGACCUGGGAAUUUACAAUAAACCUGCGGCAUUGUUUA